rnacentral:rRNA from 1 species
CAGUAGCCGCGGUAAUACGUAGGUGGCAAGCGUUGUCCGGAAUUAUUGGGCGUAAAGGGCUCGCAGGCGGUUUCUUAAGUCUGAUGUGAAAGCCCCCGGCUCAACCGGGGAGGGUCAUUGGAAACUGGGAAACUUGAGUGCAGAAGAGGAGAGUGGAAUUCCACGUGUAGCGGUGAAAUGCGUAGAGAUGUGGAGGAACACCGGUGGCGAAGGCGACUCUCUGGUCUGUAACUGACGCUGAGGAGCGAAAGCGUGGGGAGCGAACAGGAUUAGAUACCCCUGUAGUCCCUGUCUCUUAUAC